GAUGAACGCUAGCUACAGGCUUAACACAUGCAAGUCGAGGGGCAGCGGUAUCGAAAGCUUGCUUUCGGUAGCCGGCGACCCGCGCACGGGUGAGUAACGCGUAUCGAACAUGCGUCAUACUCGAGAAUAGCCAUGCGAAAGUAAGAUUAAUUCCCGGUUUUUUCCGCAUCCUUCAUGAGUCUUUGAACAACGUGUUAUCGCUAUGAGAUGGCGCUGCGUCCCAUUAGCUUGUUGGUGAGGUAACGGCCCACCAAGGCAUCGAUGCAUAGCCGGGCUGAGAGGGUGAUCGGCCACCCUGGAAGAGAGACACGGUCCAGACUCCUACGGGAGGCAGGAGUAGGGAAUCUUCCGCAAUGGGCGAAAGCCUGACGGAGCAACGCCGCGUGAGUGAUGAAGGUCGUCGGAUCGUAAAACUCUGUUAUUAGGGAAGAACAUAUGUGUGAGUAACUGUGCACAUCUUGACGGUACCUAAACAGAAAGCCACGGCUAACUACGU
rnacentral:rRNA from 1 species